rnacentral:rRNA from 1 species
UCGUACGGGAGUUUUUAACUCAAGUGGCGGACGGGUGAGUAACACGUGAGAAUUUACCUUUAGGAGGGGGACAACAACCUGGAAACGGUUGCCUAAUACCCCAUAUGCUUUCGAGUGAAAUGAAUUUAUUCGCCUGAAGAGAAGCCUCGCCGCCUGAUUAGCUUGUUGGUAGGGUAAGAGCCUACCAAGGCGACGAUCAGUAUCUGGUUUGAGAGGACGAUCAGACACACUGGAACUGAGACACGGUCCAGACUCCUACGGGAGGCAGCAGUGGGGAAUUUUCCGCAAUGGGCGAAAGCCUGACGGAGCAAUACCGCGUGAGGGAAGACGGCCUAUGGGUUGUAAACCUCUUUUUUCAGGGAGGAAUUCAAUGACGUGUACCUGAAGAAUAAGCAUCGGCUAACUCCGUGCC